AACGAACGCUGGCGGCAGGCUUAACACAUGCAAGUCGAGCGCCCCGCAAGGGGAGCGGCAGACGGGUGAGUAACGCGUGGGAAUCUACCCAUCUCUACGGAAUAACGCAUGGAAACGUGUGCUAACACCGUAUACGUCCUUCGGGAGAAAGAUUUAUCGGAGAUGGAUGAGCCCGCGUUGGAUUAGCUAGUUGGUGGGGUAAAGGCCUACCAAGGCGACGAUCCAUAGCUGGUCUGAGAGGAUGAUCAGCCACACUGGGACUGAGACACGGCCCAGACUCCUACGGGAGGCAGCAGUGGGGAAUAUUGGACAAUGGGCGCAAGCCUGAUCCAGCCACGCCGCGUGAGUGAUGAAGGCCCUAGGGUUGUAAAGCUCUUUCACCGGUGAAGAUAAUGACGGUAACCGGAGAAGAAGCCCCGGCUAACUUCGUGCCAGCAGCCGCCGUAAUAC
rnacentral:rRNA from 1 species